rnacentral:rRNA from 1 species
UACGGGGGGAGCAAGCGUUGUUCGGAUUUACUGGGCGUAAAGGGCGCGUAGGCGGCGUAACAAGUCACUUGUGAAAUCUCCGGGCUUAACUCGGAGCGGUCAAGUGAUACUGUUGUGCUAGAGUGCGGAAGGGGCUACUGGAAUUCUCGGUGUAGCGGUGAAAUGCGUAGAUAUCGAGAGGAACACCUGCGGCGAAGGCGGGUAGCUGGGCCGACACUGACGCUGAAGCGCGAAAGCUAGGGGAGCAAACGGG